GGCUAGUCCGAAGGUAGUGUCUCAAUCGAUUCUUCACAGUCAGUUACAGAUUGAACUCCUGUUCUGGACUUUCCCCCUUUCUCACUACUGCACUUGACAAGUCUUUA
ensembl:misc_RNA Y_RNA Y RNA